GCAUCUGAUUCUUUCCUGCUCUUUGCAGUGCGGUGCAUGACUGGGGACACAUGAUGCUACAGCAAAGCAGAGGAAAUCCAGACAAGCUCCUUUCCAUUGCACUGGGACUUGUCUCUACAACUCUGCAACAUUU
rnacentral:snoRNA from 1 species